ACUAAUGUCCCCUUGCAUUUUGAAAGUCAAUGCAAUUAAUGAUAAACUAAAUUGAUAAAAAUAUAAUUUAAUCCUCAAACUUCUUGAAUUUUACAAAGAAAUUAGAAUAAAAAUUUCGAGUAUAAUAAAUAACUUUAAGAGGCAAUUUGUAUAUUACAUCAAAGGUCAAAAGGCAAUUUGUAUUACAUUAAAGAUCAAGAGGCAAAUAGUAUAAAACCAAACCUAGGUAACACUGUUUAAUGAAAAUUCAGACGGAGCUAAUUUUUAGUAUACAAUUACAAAAUAGAAUGAUGAAGAAAAUAUAAUUUUAAGAUAUUAGAGAGUAAUUAGUAUAAUAUAAAAAGUACAAGGGGCGAAUAGUAAUUACCCGAAAAAUAUUAAAGUUACUAUAAAAUAUUAAGGUGAAAUAUUAAAGAAGAGGUACUUUGAUACCUCGUCUAAUCCUAGCAAAAAAUAUACUAACCUUGGCUAGACUCGUUAGAGAGAUAUAUUGGUAACUUAUCUAGUUCCGAAGGAGAUACUUUAAUAACUUAAAUUUUUUUAACAUGUGAAACUGACAAAAUUACAGUCUAAUUUUAUUUAAUAAAUCUAAAAAUCAUUUUAUUUAGCAUUUAAGUUGAACAUAAGCCUAAGGGAUGGGAGGAUUACAAUAAUAAACUUAACUUACUUCAAGUUGAGCAUUGGAGCCUAUCACAUACAAAAUGCUAAAUUGAUUUUAGUUAUUUAAACAUGUGAGGUGAAAAUCUAAUGCCGGAAUUUAAACCAUGUAAAGAGGAGGAAAAGAAGAAUAAAGAAAAACAAGAAAGAGAUUAAGGAUGAGGGGGCACUUAAGGGGAAUCAA
rnacentral:lncRNA from 1 species